rnacentral:rRNA from 1 species
AGUGAACGCUGGCGGUAGGCCUAACACAUGCAAGUCGAACGGCAGCACAGUAAGAGCUUGCUCUUACGGGUGGCGAGUGGCGGACGGGUGAGGAAUACAUCGGAAUCUACUUUUUCGUGGGGGAUAACGUAGGGAAACUUACGCUAAUACCGCAUACGACCUACGGGUGAAAGCAGGGGAUCUUCGGACCUUGCGCGAUUGAAUGAGCCGAUGUCGGAUUAGCUAGUUGGCGGGGUAAAGGCCCACCAAGGCGACGAUCCGUAGCUGGUCUGAGAGGAUGUGCAGCCACACUGGAACUGAGACACGGUCCAGACUCCUACGGGAGGCAGCAGUGGGGAAUAUUGGACAAUGGGCGCAAGCCUGAUCCAGCCAUACCGCGUGGGUGAAGAAGGCCUUCGGGUUUGAGAGCCCUUUUGUUUGGAUAGAAAAGCAGCAGGUUAAUACCCCGCUGUUCUGACGGUACCCAAAGAAUAAGCACCGGCUAACUUCGUG